rnacentral:rRNA from 1 species
CCCUUAGAUGUUCUGGGCUGCACGCGCGCUACACUGAUGCGCUCAACGAGUUUUAACCUUGCCUGGAAAGGUUGGGUAAUCUUUUUAAAACGCAUCGUGAUGGGGAUAGAUUAUUGCAAUUAUUAAUCUUCAACGAGGAAUUCCUAGUAAGCGCGAGUCAUCAGCUCGUGCUGAUUACGUCCCUGCCCUUUGUACACACCGCCCGUCGCUCCUACCGAUUGAGUGAUCUGGUGAAUAAUUCGGACUGCGGCAUUGACCGGUUCCCGAUCGUUGCUGCGGAAAGUUUAGUGAACCUUAUCACUUAGAGGAAGGAGAAGUCGUAACA